AAAGUGAGCUGGACGGUCGCCGCUGAUGAGAUCUUUGGAUUAAAGCAGGGGAGGAAAGUCCGGGCUUCGUAGGGCAAAGUGCCAGGUAACGCCUGGGCGGUGUGAGCCGACGGAUAGUGCAGCAGAGAGUAGACCGCCGAACGGCCCGUAAGGGUGCGUGGUAAGGGUGAAACGGUGCGGUAAGAGCGCACCACGAGUCUGGUAACAGACCGGUACGGUAAACCCCACUUGAAGCAAGACCAAAUAGGAAUCCAUGGCGUGGCCCGCGUCGGAUUCGGGUAGGUUGCUUGAGCGUAUUGGUGACGAUACGCCUAGAGGAAUGAUCGUUCACGACAGAACCCGGCUUAUAGGCUCACUUUGCAC
rnacentral:RNase_P_RNA from 1 species